UACGAAGGGGGCUAGCGUUGCUCGGAAUCACUGGGCGUAAAGCGCACGUAGGCGGCUUUCUAAGUCAGGGGUGAAAUCCUGGAGCUCAACUCCAGAACUGCCCUUGAUACUGGAGAGCUGAGUUCGGGAGAGGUGAGUGGAACUGCGAGUGUAGAGGUGAAAUUCGUAGAUAUUCGCAAGAACACCAGUGGCGAAGGCGGCUCACUGGCCCGAUACUGACGCUGAGGUGCGAAAGCGUGGGGAGCA
rnacentral:rRNA from 1 species